GUCCGCGACGCAGUCCACUAUUGGACCACUCACACACGCUCACUCAGGGACUCAUCGAGUCAUCAGUAUGCUGAAGAUCUCCAUCUGUCUGGCCCUCCUGCUGUAUGGCAUCGUGCCGCAUCACGCCGAUGGCCAACCAAUGGGACACUACACGGCCGGACGCUGCUGUUUCCACUUUUUUAAAGGAAGAAUUGCCAGAGCCAACAUUGUGACCAUCACGAAAAUUCACCAUGGCUGUCCUCAUCCAGGAUAUGUUGUUCAGACCGUCAAAGGAAGAUUAUUCUGCAUGGACGCAAGCUUUGAAAUGUAGACAGCUCUGGAAGACUGAGGUUUCCAGCAGAGGGCGCCUCAGUGUCAUCGGGGUUAUAGCCAAAAGUCUUCUCAUCUGUUCGUGAAGUUUGUUUUAUACGCUUGAGAGCAUAGCGAAUCCUCUUUGCUUAUUCAUGAAUUGAAUUGAAUUUGUAACAAUUUAUAACAAUAGGUGUGAAACGAAAAAGGAAAGAGUCAGCCUUAUGUGGAAAUGUAAACUGUGAAGGUAUAUUAAGACAUAAAUUCCAUAUUUCAUAUUUGUUUGGCAUUGAUCAUAUCAGCUCAGGACGGCACAAACGGCACGGCAAAUUAUGGGGAACUGACACUCUGUCAGUGUAUGUUGGGGGUGGGCGGGGGGGUCUGCUUUAUGUGUUAGGCUUAUGCAGUGGCUCCAGUGUCUGCUGAACUGCUUCAUUAUCACAUGCACUGCUGUACAUCUAAGAAAUAAAAUGCAUUUACAUAAACAGA